UCCGGUUUGUCACCGGCAGUCUCCUUAGAGUUUCCCAUGCAUGUCAAGCCUAGGUAAGGUUCUUCGCGUUGCGUCGAAUUAAACCACAUGCUCCACCGCUUGUGCGGGCCCCCGUCAAUUCCUUUGAGUUUCAGCCUUGCGGCCGUACUCCCCAGGCGGGGUACUUCCUGCGUUAGCGCCGGCACCCAAGGGGUCGCUCCCCCAGGCACCUAGUACCCAUCGUUUACGGCGUGGACUAC
rnacentral:misc_RNA from 1 species